GAUGAAGAACGUAGCGAAAUGCGAUACGUAAUGUGAAUUGCAGAAUUCAGUGAAUCAUCGAGUCUUUGAACGCACAUUGCGCCCUCUGGUAUUCCGGAGGGCAUGCCUGUCCGAGCGUCAUUGCUGCCCUCAAGCACGGCUUGUGUGUUGGGCUCCGUCCCCCGAUCCCGGGGGACGGGCCCGAAAGGCAGCGGCGGCACCGCGUCCGGUCCUCGAGCGUAUGGGGCUUUGUCACCCGCUCUGUAGGCCCGGCCGGCGCUUGCCGAUCAACCAAAUUUUUAUCCAGGUUGACCUCGGAUCAGGUAGGGAUACCCGCUGAACUUAAGCAUAUCAAUAAGCGGAAGA
rnacentral:misc_RNA from 1 species